GGGCGGGUGGUCUAGUGGUGAAGACGUUAGCCGCGAAAGCUGAAGACCCGGGUUCGAUUCCCGGCUCGGCCA
rnacentral:tRNA from 1 species